rnacentral:tRNA from 1 species
UGUAACAAGGUGUAUUUUGCAUGCAGUAGUUUGAUUGCUGAGGGGAGUUGAGUCUGUUACAC